UACGUAGGUGACCAGCGUUGUCCGGAUUUACUGGGCGUAACGCGCGCGCAGGCGGUCGUUCAAGUCGAGUGUGAAAGCCCCCGGCUCAACUGGGGAGGGUCAUUCGAUACUGAUCGACUGGAAGGCAGGAGAGGGAAGCGGAAUUCCCGGUGUAGUGGUGAAAUGCGUAGAUAUCGGGAGGAACACUAGUGGCGAAGGCGGCUUCCUGGCCUGUUCUUGACGCUGAGGCGCGAAAGCUAGGGGAGCAAACGGG
rnacentral:rRNA from 1 species